rnacentral:rRNA from 1 species
UACGUAGGGGGCAAGCGUUGUCCGGAUUUAUUGGGCGUAAAGAGCGUGUAGGCGGCCUGGAAGGUCAGCUGUGAAAACUCGAGGCUCAACCUCGAGACGUCGGUUGAAACCACCUGGCUAGAGUCCGGAAGAGGAGAGUGGAAUUCCCGGUGUAGCGGUGAAAUGCGCAGAUAUCAGGAAGAACACCCGUGGCUAAGGCGGCUCUCUAGUACGGUACUGACGCUGAGACGCGAAAGCGUGGGGAGCGAACAGG